GACGGAGGGUGCUAGCGUUGUUCGGAAUGACUGGGCGUAAAGGGCGCGUAGGCGGUCCUAUUAGUCAGGCGUGAAAGCCCUGGGCUCAACCCAGGAAUUGCGUUUGAUACUGUAAGACUAGAGUGCGAGAGAGGAAAGUGGAAUUCCUAGUGUAGAAGUGAAAUUCGUAGAUAUUAGGAGGAACACCAGAGGCGAAGGCGGCUUUCUGGCUCGCAACUGACGCUGAGGCGCGAAAGCGUGGGGAGCAAACAGG
rnacentral:rRNA from 1 species